UCAUCUUUUGCUAUAGCCUGAGAACAGUUGCUCUUUCGAGCUGUGGAAUGAGGCUGGAUGAUGUGGAGGAGCUCUGGGUACUGUACUCACACGCAGGAUAAGUAGGGUGGCCUUAAAGUCUGGGUAGCUGUGAAGGGUGGUAAAGAGGAGUUGACUCUUCAGGCUGUAUCUUCCUGCAAGGUUGAUUCCUUCAAGCUUAUCAUUCAUACCUGAGAUUAUUAGAGAGCACCUUAAAUUAAAUUGGCAGGAUUCAAUAAGAGACUAUUUGGGUUAUUAGCUUUACUAGUUUUCUGCACUGUACACUUAAUCUAAUCCCUGUGACACUGAUUCUGUUGCCAGGGUCUUGUUGCUCAGAACAGUGUGUGAAACCUGGGAAGGAUUUUGGGAAUGGUCUUUCUCUCAGCAUUCCAGAGCUUAAGGGAUGUCUCCUCCAGUUGUGUGUCAGAGAAGUACAGUGUCUAUUCUUGUUUCAAAGUCCUAAUUAGAAAUGGGAAGGGAAUGUACCAAAGUCACCAAUAAGGAAGCACAAUCACAAUAUCUGUAGAAUUAAGGCAUGAGGAAUUUGCUGAAGUUUGAUUGAGCACCCUAGUUAGGUACCUUUGUUCUUUACAGAUGGCUGCUAAUAGAGCUAAUAGCCAUUAUUUUAGUUUGGUUUCUUGUACUACUGAAUAUCUUUUGAGCUUUGAUACACUGUCUAGUUCUUGAUUUAUCAUUAGCAAGGAUAUGUGUGUUUUACGACCUCAGUGAAAACACUGUCUCAGGCAGUUUUUUACAAGUUCAAGUUGCAGGCUGUCCUACUUGAAGCUUAAAGUAUUUUCCAGUGAAAGUGUUUCAUUUGCCAUGGAAGUGUUUCAUUUGCCAUGGAAGUGUUUCAUUUGCCAUGGAAGUGUUUCCUUUGCCAUGAAAGUUUCAUUUGCCACGGAAGUGUUUCCAUCCCUGCGCGCUGCUGACGCUCCUGCCAGGCCAGGCUGGCUCUGGUGCGUCCUGCACACGCGCUGGGGACGGGAGGCAGAGUGCCCCAGGGUCCCUGUGUGCUGUGGCAGUGGUGGAUGAGGCCGUGCAGGGACUCCUCUUUGGGGUCUGGCAGCUCUGUCAUUCUUCAUGAACUUCCCUGCUGCCAGUAGAAGAGGUGGAACACCCUGCACCCAAAGUCCAGCGUGCCAGGCUUGCCUUCAUCUAUCUGCUUGGCACUGACCCAGGCUUGCUGUGCCUCUGCAGCCUCCUGGCCUGGCAUUUCCUGCUGCUUGUUUGAUUGAGCCUGUCUACAGUUUUAACAAGAAGCACUUUGAAAACAGCUUUUAUUAAAGUCAACUCCCAAAUGAAACAGCUGGGAAGUGUUCCAUGCUGUCUUAUCUCUGGUCCCACUCAGGCCAAAGCCAGUCUUCACUGGUUUGUGUCAAAACCAAGUCACGUCUUCGUGAGCAAACUGAGAGGAUUAAUAAGGCAAAUUGGCAGGUUGCACAGAGUAAAAUGAUCAAAAUAUCUUUAUGCUAGAAAAGUUUCACCCCUUGUUAGGUUUGCUGCUCUCCUAAGGAAGUUUGUGCCCUUACUGCCAGAGCCUUAAGAGAGCCAAUGCUGCCAGCUACAGCAACAGUGUUUCUUACAGUGUUCAUUUUACAGGGCAACUGAGAAGUAAUUGAAAAACAAAUAUAAAUUAUUUCAGCAUGUAAAAGGCAUCAGUACUAUCCAUCUCUAAACUUAACAAUUUAAAAAUGUUUAAACAUGUCUGGAGGAAUUGUGUACACUGAAAUAGCACCUAUUCUUAGCUUUUCAAAUAUGCAGUUCAGAGGUCAGAUUUGCUGGUUCCUACUGACAGCUGCCUCACACAGCACCUGCCCAUACAUUAGCAUUAGGUAACUGUUUCUUACAUUAAUAUGGUAAUGGCAAUUUAUCCUCUGCUAGAAAGAGGCCACACCAAUUCAGGUCUGGGAAAGUAAACUGCUACAAUGAAACAUGACCUUUCAUCUUUUCCAGUUGUGAUUUUUAUAAUAGGUAAAGGCUUUCAUCCUGAAUAACACCUCUAUCCUAAUAAUGCUCAUGGAAAUAGGACUUCAGACUUCUUUGAAGGAAACUACUUAAUUUGUGGACUGACCAUUAGAUUGAACUCCUAAAGCCACAUUGUGUGUGAAAAUGUUGUGGCUGCAUGUUUCUUCUCUGGGUGUUGUAGUGCUUGCUACUGCUCCUCAACAGCAGCUUUAGAUCACUGCUAGCUACCGAGCACCGAGAGAGAAAAAUAUUCUUCUGAAUGCUUUGACAGUUGAGGGAAAGAGGACAGAACUGCUAUUAGAAAAGGUGUCUAAUUGCCUUCUGGUAGAACCUAAUCCUUUAGAUUAAUUAGAUUAAUUUUUAAUAACAGAUGAACUAACUUAUCGGUAAUGAACUUCAGGGAAAUUGCCAGUUGAUUUAGAAUGAGGGUCAAGAUUUUAUUUUUUAGGCUCUGAAAUAGACAGGGAAGAGCAAAGAAGAAUCUGAGGGUCAGGUGAUCUAUGAAUGAUUUUUCAUUUCUCAUCUUGUUACCAUCUAUCUCAUUAUAUUACCAGUUGUAUAUGUAUGGGAUAUGCAAACACAGAAGCAAUAAAAUAUUUUAAAAUCAGUUUCUUUAAACUUCU
ensembl:lncRNA